rnacentral:rRNA from 1 species
UACGUAGGGUGCGAGCGUUGUUCCGGAAUUAAGUUGGGCGUAAAGAGCUUGUAGGCGGUUUGUCGCGUCUGCUGUGAAAAUCCGGGGCUCAACCCCGGACUUGCAGUGGGUACGGGCAGACUAGAGUGUGGUAGGGGAGACUGGAAAUUCUGGUGUAGCGGUGAAAAUGCGCAGAUAUCAGAGGGACACCGAUGGCGAAGGCAGGUCUCUGGGCCACUACUGACG